rnacentral:rRNA from 1 species
GUGCCAGCAGCCGCGGUAAUACCGGCAGUUCGAGUGAUGGUCGAUAUUAUUGGGCCUAAAGCGUUCGUAGCUGGCCAGUCAAGUCUGUUGGGAAAUCCACGUGCCCAACACGUGGGCGUCCAACAGAAACUGACUGGCUUGGGACCGGAAGACCCGAAGAGUACGUUCGGGGUAGGAGUGAAAUCCUAUAAUCCCGCACGGACCACCGAUGGCGAAAGCACUUCGAGAAAACGGAUCCGACAGUGAGGGACGAAAGCCAGGGUCUCCAACCGGAUUAGAAACCCGAGUAGUCC